AGCAGCAGCCUUUUCGACGUUCCCUUCAGUGGACUUGGAAGCACCGAACGAGCACGGAUGCUGAUCAAAUUUUUUCUGAUCGCACAGAGUUCAUCACUUGUGCAUGUGCAACAUAUUGGCGGAGGCAAUACGAACUGCAUUUCUCACUAGCUGGACAAGUCGGAAUGGCAAUGCACCUUGGAGAACAAGACUCGAAUUGUGAAAGUCUGGUGGUUUCACAGAACUUUGUUUUAUGACAAGAUGGGCUGACACCAUGUCACCUGAUGCUGUCACUCUCUGGUAAGCAUGUUAAAAAAAUAAAAACA